CAAGAUGGCGGCCUCGUCGGUUGUGUCAAUGUGGAGAUGGAGAUUAAACACGUGUAUUAAAGGAUUGCUUUAAGGAUUGAAUAAUGUAUGCACAGACAUCUCCAAAAUGGGGGCUGUAUGACUGAAGGCACUAUCACAUGGAGUGAUUGCAUCUGGCGUUCAGUGCCAUCCAGGCCAGCUGCAUUCAUUUGCUGUACAUUUCUGGUCCUCAGUUGGGUACGCCUGCUAUCAGCCUGCCAUUGGAUUAGUAUUCCAGUAUACUAUAAAACAGGCUUACGCCCAACCAGGAAGGAGUUUCUUGCUUGUAGGGGCUGUGCUGUCAACAGAACAAGAAACCAGAAGGUUCUAUGGACUUAUGCAGUGUGCCCAUCUCUCCUUGGCAGGGCACUCUCCCAAGAUGGUUUGCUCUUCACUCACCUCCACAGUUCCUUGGUUUUUGAAACCUCAUUCCAGACCUAGAACAAGAGAGAAAAAGAGUAUCUGGGCAGUCAAUAUGAGUCAGCACCUGCCAGGCUCUGUGAAAGGUACAGGCAGCUGCUUCAGACUCAGAACCUACACUCAAUAAAAUACACCCUGGGGAAUUAGCAACUUAUCUGGACAAACAAAACAACCAAAUAAUGAGUAUGAAAGGAGAGAACGACCAACUCAAUGAGACCAACGGGCACAGAAAUGUUUACUGGUAAAAUCCCAAAGGACGAGUGGGUGUUCCCUACAAGAAAAGGGCAGGAAGAGGUAGAACCACUGGGCCAAGCCAUGAGAAGUGUGUCUUAAUUAGAAUCUAUGUUUCUGGGUGCUGGAGAUUGGAUUUGACCAAAUCCCUUAAAUCAUAAUGGCAAAAACAGAAGCAAGUACGAAUUCAGAGUGGGGGAGUGGUAGGUCAAACUGCUUUAGGAUGAUCACUCUGCUAGCUGUGAGAAGGAAGGACUGGAAAUAAGGGCAGAGCAGCAGUCCUGAAGCUGGGGCCCUGGGCACUGGUCCAGGGAAUGUCCCAGAAAGACCAAGAGAGCAGUAAAGAUCAGUCACCUCGGGGAGGGCACUCUUUGGGCCCUCGAUGCAGGCUCGGGGUGGCCCAGAAGAGGAUGAGAGUGCCUCACUCCUACCCUUCCUCUGUGAAAACAGCCAAGGCUCCAGCUCCUGCACUGUGCCAGGCUGGCGGAGUGACUCUGGGCAGCUGUUUGAUACCUUCCUUAUUCAUGAACACCAGUACUUUUUUGGGACAUUAAAAAUUAUA